AUACGGAGGAUGCGAGCGUUAUCCGGAUUUAUUGGGUUUAAAGGGAGCGUAGGCGGACGCUUAAGUCAGUUGUGAAAGUUUGCGGCUCAACCGUAAAAUUGCAGUUGAUACUGGGUGUCUUGAGUACAGUAGAGGCAGGCGGAAUUCGUGGUGUAGCGGGGAAAUGCUUAGAUAUCACGAAGAACUCCGAUUGCGAAGGCAGCCUGCUGGACUGUAACUGACGCUGAUGCUCGAAAGUGUGGGUAUCAAACAGGAUUAGAUACCCUGGUAGUCCACACAGUAAACGAUGAAUACUCGCUGUUUGCGAUAUACAGUAAGCGGCCAAGCGAAAGCGUUAAGUAUUCCACCUGGGGAGUACGCCGGCAACGGUGAAACUCAAAUGAAUUGACGG
rnacentral:rRNA from 1 species